UGUUUUCAUUAAUCAAGAACGAAAGUUAGGGGAUCGAAGACGAUCAGAUACCGUCGUAGUCUUAACCAUAAACGAUGCCGACCAGCGAUUAGGAGACGUUGAAUACAAAACACCACCAUCGGCGCGGUCGUCCUUGGCGUCUGGGCUCUUCUCACGGCUGGGGCGGGGGGGGGGUUG
rnacentral:rRNA from 1 species